AAGAAUUUAAGUUAAAAAAACUAGUAGCCUUCAAAGCCACAAAUAAAAAUUAUUUUAAUUCUUA
rnacentral:tRNA from 1 species